AUACGGAGGGUGCGAGCGUUAAUCGGAAUUACUGGGCGUAAAGGGUGCGUAGGCGGCUUGAUAAGUCGGAUGUGAAAGCCCCGGGCUUAACCUGGGAAUUGCAUUCGAUACUGUCAGGCUAGAGUAUGUCAGAGGUUGGCGGAAUUCCUGGUGUAGCGGUGAAAUGCGUAGAUAUCAGGAGGAACACCAGUGGCGAAGGCGGCUAACUGGGGCAAUACUGACGCUGAGGUACGAAAGCGUGGGUAGCAAACGGGAUUAGAAACCCUAGUAGUCC
rnacentral:rRNA from 1 species